GAGACACAACAGACACAAGAGCCUGAGAAACACCUGGAUUCUCCUGGACUGCAGACGUGGAUCAGGAACGCGGUUGGAUUUUAUGUUGUGACGGAUCUGAGAUGAAGAUGAUGUCCAGCAUCCUGCUGCUCCUCAUCCUCAGCUCAUGUCUCUGUGCAGCAACAUUUGUAGUGAAUGUGACACAGAGCAGCUAUCAGGCAGAGGAGAAGCAGAACAUCACUCUGGAGUGGACCUUCACCACCAAGACUCAGGGAACCUGGAAGCAACUGUUCAUCUACUGUGAAGCGAACACG